GACACUAUGGCCCAAUGGAUAAGGCAGCGGAAGAAGGUUGUAGAAGGUUAAUUCGAAUUCUCUUCCUUUGCUAAUGUAGGUUCGAGUCCUACUGGUGUCC